rnacentral:rRNA from 1 species
GAGUUUGAUCGUGGCUCAGAUUGAACGCUGGCGGCAUGCCUUACACAUGCAAGUCGAACGGCAGCAUGAUCUAGCUUGCUAGAUUGAUGGCGAGUGGCGAACGGGUGAGUAAUACAUCGGAACGUGCCCUGUAGUGGGGGAUAACUAGUCGAAAGAUUAGCUAAUACCGCAUACGACCUGAGGGUGAAAGUGGGGGACCGCAAGGCCUCAUGCUAUAGGAGCGGCCGAUGUCUGAUUAGCUAGUUGGUGGGGUAAAGGCCCACCAAGGCGACGAUCAGUAGCUGGUCUGAGAGGACGAUCAGCCACACUGGGACUGAGACACGGCCCAGACUCCUACGGGAGGCAGCAGUGGGGAAUUUUGGACAAUGGGCGAAAGCCUGAUCCAGCAAUGCCGCGUGUGUGAAGAAGGCCUCGGUUGUAAGUCGACUUUGUUCCGGUAACGAAA